CACCGCCACCCCCCCACCGCCAACACCAGCGUCGGUGUCCUUGGCCCGAGCAUCCCGGCGGACGAAGGCCACUCCCGUUUUAUAAUUGAGCCGCACUAUCCUCUAGACAGACGUGGAGGAAGAGGAAAGACAACAGCAACGCGCCCAAGUACUGUCAUAUUCAUUCAUCUCAACCGCUUCCUGUCUUCAGAUCGUCGUCCACGCACCCGGUGGCCACGUACAAGAGGAGAAGAUGCCGGACUUGAGAUGAGACGUCUCGCUAAAAGCAACGAGAAGGACACAUUUUCAGCCCGGCCUCGGGAGAUUCAACCGCUAUGCGCCGCACAAAAAAAAAAAAAAAAAAC
ensembl:lncRNA